rnacentral:tRNA from 1 species
AAGAGAAAAGAGGAAUUAAACCUCUAUCGAUCGGUUUCAAGCCGAACGCAUUCCUUUCUGCCAUUUCUCC